rnacentral:rRNA from 1 species
AAGGCCUUCGGGUUGUAAAGCUCUUUCGGACGGAACGAAACGGUUAGGAUGAAUAAUCGUGACUAAUGACGGUACCGUAAUAAGAAGCACCGGCUAACUACGUGC